rnacentral:tRNA from 2 species
GCAGAUGUGGCGGAACUGGCAGACGCACAGGACUUAAAAUCCUGCGGGACUUACCUCCCGUGCCGGUUCGAUUCCGGCCAUCUGCACCA